UACGUAGGUGGCAAGCGUUGUCCGGAAUUAUUGGGCGUAAAGCGCGCGCAGGUGGUUUCUUAAGUCUGAUGUGAAAGCCCACGGCUCAACCGUGGAGGGUCAUUGGAAACUGGGGAACUUGAGUGCAGGAGAGAAGAGUGGAAUUCCACGUGUAGCGGUGAAAUGCGUAGAGAUGUGGAAGAACACCAGUGGCGAAGGCGGCUAUCUGGACGGUUUCUGACGCUAAGACGCGAAAGCGUGGGGAGCAAACAGG
rnacentral:rRNA from 1 species